rnacentral:lncRNA from 1 species
ACUCUCUCGAAUGGUUGGUCCAUCGCAACUUGAUGUUAUUAUUCCUUCGGCUGCCCAUAAAUAAGACAGUCUAUUGACUGUUAUCUUGAAAUCUUCAGGGAAAUAAGCUAGGAAAAGAAAGCAAUGCUUUAAAUGCAUUGGCAAAUCUUCAUAGCUCAGAGACAAUACUCGGUAAACCGAAUCUUGUUUGUUGUCAUCUGAGCGAAUGAUCUGAGUUUGAAUAUUGUCAUAUACUCUUUUCCACGCUUCAACCGUAUAUUUCUUGUUAGCUAACAAGCCUCCCAGCACUUUAACAGCUAACGGUAGUCCUCCACAAUAUUUAACCAUUUUUUUACCCAUAGCUUCCAGUUCUUUAUCAACACUAAAUUCUGCAAAACAAAAAGCAUAUAUUAUAAGAUAAUAGCCAUGAACCAUAUAUGUACAUCCCUGAACUACUCCACAAGAUUUUUGAUAAUAGGAGGUAAGAGAUAUCACAUUAUGUGUCGUAACGGAUUAAUAAUAUUCUAUUAUAUAAACGUACCAGUUUUGUCUCUUCUAGAUAAUGCUAUCUGCUCACACAACUCCCAACUUUCCUCGGGAGUAAGGAUUGUUGGUGUAAAGGCAAAACAUGUUGGGUCUGCAUGUAAACCAACACCUCCAUUGCGAGAAGUAAGAAUCAUUUUCCAACCUGCAAAUUGUAAUUUCCUUUUAAGUCAGGGAUUAAAAGGCAUUUAUGAAACUUUUAAGUAGUGUAUGUACAAUUAAAGAGCUUGCCUCUUUCUUGGGGGAAAACGUCUUUUAUUCUAUCCCAGUCUUCAUUUUGCCAUACAUCAUCUAAGACAAUUAAAUGUCUACGUGCUCCCAGCAAUGGAAAGAGCUUCUCCUGGAGUUCGUUCUCAUCCAUUUGUUUGAUAGCCUGGACUUCAUUCUCAUCCAUCUGUUUGAUGUCCUUACCAUGUGGUCUAAGAUCUUGCAAGAUCUUUUGCCAAAUAUCCUUCCGCCGAAACUCUUUUGAAACACAUACCCAUGCGAAUCCAUCAAAAUGACGUCGAACAAUGUCAUGAUGAAAAACUUGUCUUGCCAGAGUGGUUUUGCCAAUACCACCCAUCCCUGAUAUGGAAACCACUUGAAUGUUAUCAUUCUUCACCAAAUGACCAACCAAUUCUUCAACACUCUCUUCCACCCCAACAAGGCCCUUUUCAGAACUCUUAGGAAAUGUUUGUCGGAUCUCCCUCUGCACCCUUUGUCUCUCUUUUAGAGACAGUGAACGACCAUCAUACAUGAUUUCUUUUAUUCCAAAGCUCUGCAUUUCCGCAACAACCUCAGACAUUCUCUUAGUUAUGCCUUCAAUUUCUAUAGAAAUAUCUCGGCGCUCCACUAAGAAACAAGAAAGCCCUUUCACACGCCUCUUGAUCCAUUUUUCGUUACCACUAGAUUCUUUCAAAAGAAAGGAUUCAAUUAUAUCUUCAGCAUCGUAAACAAUGUCUUUGACAUCUUCCAAGAAGUUUCUCACAGCUUCAUUUUUAUGUUUCUUGGCAUCUGCAUCUUUCAACAAUGACUGUAACUUUCUCAUUCGGCGUUUUAGAUCAUCAACAUGCUCGUGCACUCCCUGCAAUCGCUCAGAUUCUCGACUCAGGAGGUCCCAGAGUUUCUCCAUUCCAAAGGACACAACUCCCUCAACCAUCGCUGACACAACUACCUCAGCCAUCACUGAUUUCCUGUUCCAACGUCAACACAUAAGCCAACAAAAUAAUACAAAUAUCAAUCAGAGGAACUUAUUUUAAAUCAAACAAACUAAGAAUAAGAUUUGAUUAAAUGCCUUAAAUUCGCGAAACAAGAUUUUCUGAUAAUCCAAAUAAUUUUAUUUUAUUUUUAAAUCUGAUUCGACCAUAACAGAGGGCAAAAGACAGAUCAAAGCAAGUUAAGUCGAAAAAUAUGAUGUAGAAAAACAUGAUAUACCUUUUAUGAAACAGAUCUGCAACUAGGUUCUAUCUGAUUUACCUUUCAGCGACGUUCUUUGGAAGAAGCGAUAUGAGUUGCAAUGAAAGAGCAAGUCAACUUUUGCAGUCGCUUCUAUCUGUAAUAAUGCAUGUGGAAGCUGAGUGAAGCAGGAUUUUGUGGCGUGUUGGAGAAAUUGAGUCAAUCCCAAGUAAGAGCUAUUGUGACACAAAGAACAUGUGUUUUAACUUGACAGGAAGGAUGACAGGUGAAAUCUGAUAGAAAAAAUCAGUGUCAUAGAAAUCAAAUGGUUUCUGGUUCUAAAGAUUUAAAGGACCUAAAUCUAAAGAAGAUGGAUAAGCUGGGUAUAGGGAAGCUCAGACGUGGAUACUCAAGGUUUAAUGUCUUCAUAGGAGGUCUCGUUUCAGUAUUUAUGUGUCUGCCUUUUGUAAGUUGUGGAAUUUCUGUCUACAAUAGAGGUGAGACUAAUGCAGUUGAGAAUGGUGAAGACAUGGUUGAUAGCAGGAGGCAUGAGUUCUGAUAUGGUCAAGCCAGAAAAAAUAUAUUGUUGUGUAUUGAGUUGAGUCUAAGGCUAUAAGAGUUUAACAGCUUGUCAUAAGUUGAUAUGACUUAGACAUUUCAGUGUCUGAUCACUUUGGUGGAUCAAUGCCAAAAGUGGAAGCUUCGUUCAGAUUAGAGUUAUUGUGAUCUUCUUGUACAAAGAACUAGUUUGAAGGACUGUGGUAUAAAAGUUUGUGUCCAGUCUCUGACAAAAUUUCAAGGAAUGAACCAUGUAUAUACAGUCAAAGUUUUAAGACUGAAAGAAGAUCCACGUAAAGAGAAGUGAAGCUGAGGUUAAAGUCGCGUGAGUGUGUCUCUUAAAUGGUUAUUGUUCCAGGUGGAGCAAUUGGUAUUACAAAGAGGGAAAUACAUUCAGAAUGGGUUUGUUUCCGAGGUGGAACUAUAUUUUCAGAAGGAGUCUUGCCUUCUCAGAACGUUGAACAUCAAAGGAGGAUCUGAUGGAGUUUAAGAGGCUGCAUAUGUUUGAGUAUGUGAAGUUUUGUCAGGGUUAUCUUGCAGUGGACUGAGCCUUGGCUGUCUGUCUUCGUGAUAUUGGGUGUCAUGCAGCAUGUACUGUUGGUAUAAACAGCGGUGCACAGAGGUUCAUGUUGGCUGUAUUAGAAGAAAAGUCAAAAGUUUUUUUCUUCUGGCCUGGAGUGAAGAUUGAUGAAGAAUCAGUAGGAGUUUUGCAAAAAUCAGAAUAUGAGGAAGUCUCUAAAUUUAAUGGAAGUAAGAUCAGUGAAACACAGAAGGCUGCAUAAAGUUGUCUAUUUGCAGCAGGAGGAAUUCAGCAGUAAUCUUCUCCGAAGAAAUACACUUACAGGUUGAUCAAGUGGUGGAAGCUCAAUGUAAAGGAUGCUAGACGAAAGAGUUGGUUCAAGUCUGCGAAAAAGCAGGAGGCAAAGAAGCAAAGAUUUUGGUUGAUUAUGCACACUGUUGAAUGUGUUGCAGGUCUGUUACAGUUGAAGACACACAUCAUGAGCUCGAGUUUGAUGUGCAAGAAUCUGUAGAGAAUAUCUCAGGAGCAUCACAUGUUCUGUUGAUGAGAUAUAUGGUUAAAACGUACAAGUGGUGAACUACAAGCUACUGGUACUGGUCUGUUUGCUCAGGGAAUUGGACAAGGAACUUAUAUCGAAGGUAUUCACAACUAGGUGGAGUUAUGAGGCGUGAUCUGUUGACAUCCAACAGCGGUACAAGUUGGUUUUAAGGCUUAGUUGGCUAGACAGAUGGAUGUAAUUACAAAAAUGCAUUGCUUACUAACCUAAAGGUUUUGUUGAGAUUGUUUUGCAGGUUUGAAUCGAAGAUUGGUUCAUGAUGGGAACAUGUAUGUUUCUGGUUUUUGCAUAUGAUUCAUGAGUAAUUUGAUUUUAAACUCAGUGCACGAGGUGAAUCAAAUGAGUCGACAAGAGGAAUCAGGUUUGCAUAGAUAUAAAGGCUAUAUAUAAUUGCUGAAACAGUUUUAUGGUGUUUGAUAGAAACCAUGAUGAAAUCUGUGUGAUUGUUGAACUCCUAAGUGCUAGCUUUUAGAGUUGUCUCUUGGUUUAACAAUUUCUAAAUUCAUUAGUCUUGUUAAUGAGAUAUUCUUGAAUGGUUUCUCAGGUAUAUCAAAGAUCGAUAGGGGAUCAAUGAAGAGUAUUAGCUUAACACCAGUUUGUGUGAAAGCUGGUUAUGAUACUCAAAGGGGCAUUAGAAUGCCAAGAGUCUUCUAGAAGCAGUGUGGUUUACACAGCUGAAGUAUCCUUAGCAUUAUGUCUGGUUCAUUGAUUAUUAAUCAGGUUUAAGAUGAUUAAGUUUGUUUAACUGGUUGCUGUACAUAAGGUUUCUUAUGCAGGUCACUGGAGAUGGAUAUUUACCAAGUUUGGAGCUGGAACUUCACAGUUAGUUCACAGUGAAAAAGAGAGAUGUGAGAGACGGCAUUCGCUUAAGUAUUUUGGGUUCUCGUGGGUUUUUAUUCUCUUAAUUCUUCUUGUAAGGUUGAUUGGAUUGUAACCAACGGUGAUUGAUCUCCGUGUACAGCCACGCUGCGGUCGAUCAGAUUGAAAAGGUCAACUCGUUUGUGUUCUUUGAUAGAAGCUAAGCCAUGGAUUCUUGAAGUCAUGGAUUCUUGAAGUGAUCGGAUUCUUUGAAGCUCUUGUGUUCUUCUUGUAAGGUUGAUCGGAUUGUAACCAACGGUGAUUGAGCUCCGUGUACAGCCACCGCGGUCGAUCAGAUUAAAAAGGUCAACUCGUUUGUGUUCUUUGAUAGAAGCUAAGACAUGGAUUCUUGAAGUCAUGGAUUCUUGAAGUCAUGGAUUCUUGAAGUGAUCGGAUUCUUUCAAACUCUUGUGUUCUUCUUGUAAGGUUGAUCGGAUUGUAACCAACGGUGAUUGAGCUCCGUGUACAGCCACGCCACGGUCGAUCAGAUUAAAAAGGUCAACUCGUUUGUGUUCUUUGAUAGAAGCUAAGACAUGGAUUCUUGAAAGUCAUGGAUUCUUGAAGUGAUCGGAUUCUUUGAAGCUCUUGUGUUCUUCUUGUAAGGUUGAUCAGAUUGUAACCAACGGUGAUUGAGCUCCAUGUACAGCCACGCUGCGGUCGAUCAGAUUAAAAAGGUCAACUCGUUUGUGUUCUUUGAUAGAAGCUAAGUCAUUGAUUCUUGAAGUCAUGGAUUCUUGAAGUGAUCGGAUUCUUUGAAGCUCUUGUGUUCUUCUUGUAAGGUUGAUCGGAUUGUAACCAACGGUGAUUGAGCUCCGUGUAAAGCCACACCACGGUCGAUCAGAUUAAAAAGGUCAACUCGUUUGUGUUCUUUGAUAGAAGCUAAGUCAUGGAUUCUUGAAGUCAUGGAUUCUUGAAGUGAUCGGAAUCUUUGAAAGCUGGUUAUGAUACUCAAAUGGGCAUUAGAACGCUAAGAGUCUUCUAGAAGCAGUGUGGUUUACACAGCUGAAGUACCCUUAGCAUUAUGUCUGGUUCAUUGAUUAUUAAUUAGGUUUAAGAUGACUAAAUUUGUUUAAGUGGUUGUUGUGCAUAAGGUUUCUUAUGCAGGUCACUGGAGAUGGAUAUUUGCCAAGUUUGGAGCUGGAACUUCACAGUUCUAAGGGCAGUUCACGGUGAAAGAGAGGGAUGUGAGGGACAACAUUAGCUUAUGGGGCUGUUUUUUUUACCAUUUGUCAUCUCCAUCCAAAUGAUUCAUUUGUAUGAUCUAUUCAGAUGAUCCAUUCUCAUUUUUGUGAUUGUUUGUUUGUCCAUCCACAUGACUCAUCUAGAUGAAUCAUCUAAAUGGAUUUUAUGUUUGUUUCUUUAUUUUCAUUUCCAUUCAAAUGAGUUUAGUAAACAAAUUACCAAAAUACCCUUGUGUUGGUUUAAUCAUAUGUUUGAUAUUAAUUUUAACUAUAUUACAUUAAUUAUUUAGUUUAAUAUUUACAUUAGAAUUAUUUCAAAAUUAACGAAUUUUCUUUUUGCGGUUUGGGCGAGAAAAAAAAAAUUUUUUUGGUUUCAGCGACAAAACAAGAUUUUUCGGUUCUGGCGGGAAAACAAGAUUUUUCGGUUCUGGCGGGAAAACAAGAUUUUUCGGUUUUGGCGGGAAAAUACAAAUUUUCGGUUUUGGCGAGAAAACACGUUUUUGCAGUUUUGGCGGAAAAAGACGUUUUUGGCGGAAAAACGCGUUUUUGGCGGAAAAACACAUUUUUGCGGUUUUGGAGGGAAACCCAUUAAAAUGAAAUUUUUCGGUUUUGGCGAGAAAACGAGAUUUUUUGUUAUUGGCGGGAAAACGUGUUUUGCGGUUUUGGCAGGAAAACACAUUUUUGGCGGGAAAAUGCAUUUUUGUUGUUUUGGCGGGAAAAUGCAUUUUGCGGUUUUGGCGGGAAAAUGCGUUUUUGGUGGGAAAAUGUGUUUUUGUUGUUUUGGCGGAAAUACACGUUUUUGCGGUUUUGGCGGGAAAACAUGUUUUGCGGUUUUUACGGGAAAACGCGUUUUUGCGGUUUUGACGGGAAAACACAUUUUUGCGGUUUUGGCGGAAAAACACGUUUUGGCGGGAAAACGCGUUUUUGCGAUUUUGGCGGGAAAACGCGUUUUUGUGGUUUUUUCAGAAAAACAAGAUUUUUUGGUAUUGGCGAGAAAAUGAGAUAUUUCGGUUUUGGCGGGAAAAUACGUUUUUGCAAUUUUGGCGGGAAAAUGUGUUUUUGUGUUUUGGCGAAAAAAUGUGUGCUUGGGGUGUUAACGUGAAAACAUGUUUUUUUUUGUGAUUUUGGCAUGAAAACACGUUUUUCGGUUUUUGCGGAAAAAUACGUUUUUGCAAUUUUAACGGAAAAACACAUUUUUGCAAUUUUGGCGAAAAAUUGCGUUUUUGGGGGUUUUGGCGUGAAAAAUAGUUUUUAGGUUUUCGCGAGAAAAAGUGUUUUUGUAGUUUUGUCAGUUUUCGUAUGUGACAAAAAUGAUAUUAUUUUUAGGUUUGUAAUUUGUGAAUUACAUUAGGGGCAUAAUAGAUAUUAUACCAUUUUGAAUGAACCAUCUCUAUUCAAAUGAUCCAAAUUAGUUCCGCUGAAUGGACUUUAAAAUUAAGCCUAAAUUUCCAAAAGUCAUCCGGAUGAUCCAUCUGAAUGAGUUGUACUUUUAGUGUCUAAACAAAUAAAACUUUCAUCUUCAUCCAAAUGAUUCAUCCAGAUGGAGAAACAAACAGGCCCUAUGUAUCUUGGGGUCUCUUGGGUUUCUAUUCUCUUAUAUUCUUCUUGUAAGGUUGAUCGGAUUGUAACCAACAGUGAGUGAGCUCCGUGUACAACCACGCCGCGGUUGAUCAGAUUAAAAAGUUCAACUCAUUUGUGUUCUUUGAUAGAAGCUAAGUCAUGGAUUCUUGAAGUUAUCGAUGGUGAUUAGAAGGGUUUGAUUUUCAACAUAAGCAAACUAGUAAUAAGAUGAGUAAAUGCGUCAACUUCGUGAAACAAGAUUUCUAAUAAUCCAAAUAUGUUUUUUUUUUUUAUCUGAUUCGACCACAACAGAGUGCAAAAGACGGAUCAAAGCAAGUUAAGCAGAAAAAAUAUGAUAUAGAAAAACAUGACAUACCUUUUAUGAAACAGAUCUGCAACUCGGUUCUAUCUGAUUCACCUUUCAGCGACGUUCUUUGGAAGAAGAGAUAUGAGUUGCAACGAAAGAGCAAGUCAACUUUUGCAGUCGCUUCUAUCUGUAAUAAUGCAUUUGCUUUAGGCUAAGAAUGGUAGGUGGGAAAACUAGUGGGCGUUACACAAGGGGUGGGGCAUCCACCUUCUAUUACCACUCACAUAUCAACUAUGCAAUUUUAAAAUAAGAUAGAACCAUACACAAGCAGACAAGCAGUAAAAAUUAGUGGAUUAUACACCCAAACAGUAAAUAAACGCCUUUUACCUGUGAAAGAAGGGUAGCAUACACUCUGUGCCUUUUUCUUUUCUUUUUUUUUUCAAAAAAUAUUAGAUAAUGUAAAAUAUUAUUAAAGUAAAAAAAAAAUUUACAAUACAUUAUUCAUGAAACAUAACUCUCUUUGCCUUUCCGCAAAAUCAUUUAUCAACUUCGAAUAAUCAAGUUUUUCUGCUAAUUCAUGCUCUAUUAUAUCAUCGACAAUCCAUUCAAACGGUCUUGAGACAUAAUCGAACGUAGACAAUUCGUCUAACAUACUUAAGCAUAUCAUUAGCUCGAAUUUCGUCACUUCAUCUUGUCUGGCUUUUUUUUCCUAUUUUGAAAUCGACUUGGUUGAUUUCUUAUUCUAUUUCAUGGAAGCAUUCUCUACAGACAACAAUUCAAAAACAUUAAAAACAUAAUUUAGAUAAAAUACACCAAUACAUUACAUAUGCUAGAACAUAAAACAAGUAAAUAACAAUCAUAAUUUAAGAAAAUUUCAGAUUUUCUUACAAAUUUUUUUUUUUAAAAAGAAAUAAAAGAAUAGGAAAAACUCACAUAGAUUCAGAGAAUGUGGAGUAUAAUGAUCUGCAUAGAAGAAUAAACAAGAAGGUUGAAAAAGGAGAAGAUGGAACGUCAAUUGUAAGAGUAAAUAAAAUAGGUAGUUAUUGUAAUUUAUGUAUUUUAUCAUUGAAUAUAAUACUAGGUUAAGACCCACACCUUGCGCGGGAUGAACAUUAUAUAUAUAAAUUAUUUUAUAUAUUAUAUAUUUAUAAUAUAUUAUGAAAUAAUAAAUAUAUAUUGAAUAAUUAAAAAUUCAUUAUCUACUACUUAUAUAAUUAAAUUGGUGCGAAUAUAUAAAUAAGUUUUAUAAAUCAAAAAAUAUUUUUUCUAUUUGAUAUGAUUAUAAUUAAAUUUAUAUGAUAGUAACAUAUAUAUGGUAUAUUUUAACAUUAAUAUUUAUUAGAUCAUGCUUUUUGCUCAUAUUUUUUUAUCAUUUGCAUCUAUUAUAGCAAAAAAUCUAAAUUAGUGAUAACAAAAUUUUCAGUGUGGAAUUAAAUUUUUAAGCAAUUUAUAAUAUUUUAAAAAAAUAAGUUAUCAAUAUUUUUUUCAAAAUUUUUAUCAAAAAAUGUUCAAAGAAAAUUUCAAAAUUAAGAUAUUUAUGUAUUUUUAUAUGACAUAUAGUUUAAUUUAAUGAUACAUAUAUUUAUAUAUCUUUUAUUUUUGAUACUUAUUAAAUAAGACUUUCAACUUAUAUUAUUUUUGGGGGAAUUUUACUUAUACACUUUUUAUGAUACCACUUUUCAACUUUACCAUCAAUCGAAAGGCAUUUUCAAAAAUACCACAUUCAUUAAUGUGUAAAAGACAAUAUUGCCCUUAACUUAUCUUCAACUCAUUUCUCUCUCUCUCGUGAAUCUCCGUUCGUCGUCUAUCGUCUCUGUUCAGAUCCGCUGUUUUCCGUUCAGAUCCGCCGUCUCCGUUCAGAUUCGCCGUCUCUGUCCUCCAGAUCCGCCGUCUCUGUCCUGAACCGACGUCUUCGUCCAGAUUCGUCGUCUUCGUCCAGAUCCACGAAGCAAUCGAGAUCGAGACUCAAAACUUCAAAUGUUGAAUCCUCAGCAAGAAUCACAACCUGUAAGUAUUUUUUCGGAUUUUGUUGUUUUGAUCUAAGAGAAAGAGUUAUCUAUUAAUAGUCUGAUCUAAGAGAAAGAUUUCUAAUAGUGAACAUUGAGUUUUUGAAAAUUUAUAACUCUUUAUAAAUCGAAGUUAUUUAGUAAUGUAAUUGACAUGUUCAGUUCCCGACACUCAUAAAAGAAGCAUAUGUUCAAGCUUAUAUGAGAUCCACAACUCUGCCAUCACACAUUUUCUUUGAUCUACAAUGUUAAUCAUCAAAUUCAUCAUUGUCUCUUGUUUUUUUUUCUAAAGUCUUAUUGAGCAACCAUUGACAUUUUUAGUUUCUUCUUGUGUCUGAGAUUGCAGAGUCUGUUUCUUUUAGCAGCGAUAAAAAGUAUGAUAUAACGCAAGUGAAGGCUCCACCUCAGCUGCAGAAAAAGAUGUGUUAAGUAACUCAAUCAACUAAAAGACAAUUUAGAAAGGCUUAUAAGACAGUUUAUAAAGUUUGUUAAAUAAUUUAUAAGGUUUAUAAAUUCUGCACAAUUUUGAAGUUAACUACGAGGUAUUGUGAUACUUCAACAGAGCUACCAGACAAGCCAAAACUGAUCAUCCAACGUUCAAAUAUGAAUUAUGUUGAAAAUGAUUUUUUGUAUUUUAGGUAAGGAGGAAUUUAGUGAAAUUGAGAAUUCACACCUUGCGGAAGUGUUGUAGAACUAGCUAGAAAGAAUAACAUUCAAUUUUCAGGAAAACCUUAUGCAAAUAAGAUUAUUGAUGAAUGGGGGUAGAUCUAUGGUUCACUUUCUCAUAUCAACCAAUGGGGUUAGAUCUAUGAUUAUUGAUGAAUGUAAAUAAUUUAUAAAAGCUUAUAAAAAACGUUAUGAAAGCAUACAUUCAAUUUAUAAGGGUAUUAUAUGAGUUCCAUAGGUUUAUAAAUCAACUAAAAGAGUCUAUAACAAUUUAGAAAGCCUUAUAAAACAAUUUAUAAUGGUUUGUAUAAUAAUUUAUAAGGGUUUAUAAGGGUACGUAAAUAAUGUAUAUGGGUUUAUAAAAAUAAUUUAUUAAGUUUAUACACCAUUAUAAAUAUUAUAAAAUGAUUUAUAUGGGAAUUUAAAAUUUCUGAAGCGGUGGAGUCUUGAUUGCUGUCCACAUGUACCUCAGAAUCUGCCAUGUAUCAUCAUCUCUUUACAAAGCCUUAUAAGGAUAUGUAAAAUUAUUUGUAGGAGUUUAUAAACUAUUAAUAAAUGCAUAUAAAACAAGUUAUAAAAUCUAUAAACCAUUUAUAAAUGUUUAUAAGAAAGUUAUGAAAGUUUAUAAACAAUAUAUAAGGGGCAUGUAUACUAUUAAUAAGAGUUUAUAAAAACUGUAUGAAAGAUUAUAUUCAAUUUAUAAGAGGUAUUAUAAGAGUUGUAUAGGUUUAUAAAUCAACUAAAAGAGUCUAAAACCAUUUAGAAAGCCUUAUAAAACAAUUUAUAAUGGUUUGUAUAAUAAUUUAUAAGGGUUUAUAAGGGUAUGUAAAUAAUGUAUACGGGUUUAUAAAAAUAAUUUAUUAAGUUUAUACACCAUUAUAAAAUAUUAUAAAAUGAUUUAUAAGGGAAUUUAAAAUUUUUGAAGCGGUGGAGUCUUGAUUGCUGUCCACAUGUACCUCAGAAUCUGCCACGUAUCAUCAUCUCCUUACAAAUCCUUAUAAGGAUAUGUAAAAUUAUUUGUAAGAGUUUAUAAACUAUUAAUAAAUGCAUAUAAAACAAGUUAUAAAAUCUAUAAACCAUUUAUAAAUGUUUAUAAGAAAGUAUGAAAGUUUAUAAACAAUUUAUAAGGGGCAUGUAUACUAUUAAUAAGAGUUUAUAAAAACUGUAUGAAAGAUUAUAUUCAAUUUAUAAGAGGUAUUAUAAGAGUUGUAUAGGUUUAUAAAUCAACUAAAAGAGUCUAAAACCAUUUAGAAAGCCUUAUAAAACAAUUUAUAAUGGUUUGUAUAAUAAUUUAUAAGGGUUUAUAAGGGUAUGUAAAUAAUGUAUACGGGUUUAUAAAAAUAAUUUAUUAAGUUUAUACACCAUUAUAAAAUAUUAUAAAAUGAUUUAUAAGGGAAUUUAAAAUUUCUGAAGCGGUGGAGUCUUGAUUGCUGUCCACAUGUACCUCAGAAUCUGCCACGUAUCAUCAUCUCCUUACAAAUCCUUAUAAGGAUAUGUAAAAUUAUUUGUAAGAGUUUAUAAACCAUUAAUAAAUGCAUAUAAAACAAGUUAUAAAAUCUAUAAACCAUUUAUAAAUGUUUAUAAGAAAGUUAUGAAAGUUUAUAAAUAAUUUAUAAGGGGUAUGUAUACUAUUAGUAAGAGUUUAUAAAAACUUUAUGAAAGAUUAUAUUCAAUUUAUAAGGGGUAUUAUAAGAGUUGUAUAGGUUUAUAAAUCAACUAAAAGAGUCUAUAACCGUUUAGAAAGCCUUAUAAAAUAAUUUAUAAUGGUUUGUAUAAUAAUGUAUACGGGUUUAUAAAAAUAAUUUAUAAAGUUUAUACACCAUUAUAAAGGAUUAUAAUAAAACAAUUUAUAAGGAUAUGUAAAAUUUCUGAAGCGGUGGAGCCGUGCUUGCUGUCCACAUGUGCCUUAGAAUCUGUCACGUAUCAUCAUCUCUUUACAAAGCCUUAUAAGGGUAUGUAAAAUUAUUUGUAAGAGUAUAUAAACCAUUAAUAAAGACAUAUAAAAAAAGUUAUAAGAUCUAUAAAUCAUUUAUAAAUGUUUAUAAGAAAGUUAUGAAAGUUUAUAAAUAAUUUAUAAGAGGUAUGUAUACUAUUAAUAAGGGUUUAUAAAAACUUUAUGAAAGCCUUAAAACAAUUUAUAAUGGUUUGUAUAAUAAUAUAUAAGGGUUUACAAGAGUAUGUAAAUAUUUUAUAAGGAUUUAUAAAAAUAAUUUAUAAAGUUUAUACACCAUAAUAAAGGAUUAUAAAAUAAUUUAUAAAAGUAUGUAAAAUUUAUGAAGCAGUGGAGUCUUGCUUGCUGUCCUCAUGUGCCUCACAAUCUGCCACGUAUCAUCAUCUCUUUACAAAAGUAUAUAACUAUUUAUACAGGUUUAUAAAACUAUUUAAAAGGGUGUAUUAAACUAUUUACAAGAACAUAUAAGCUAUUUAUAAGUCUAUUGUUAAAAGUACAACUCGACGAUUUAUAAAUUCUUAUUAAGAAGUUUUUAAACAAGAGUUGAUUGUAUAUGUCUAUACAAAACACAUAAAUGUUUGAACUUGAGAAGUCUUGUGAGGAAUGCUAGGCAGAAUGAGUGUAAGAAACUCAAAGUGAUUUAUAAGCGUUUAUAAAUUUAUUUACAAUGGUUUAUAAGGUAAUUUUUUUAAAAUCCCUCCAAAAGACAAUCAACACAAAAAAACAUAUCUGGUGAAAGAGCCACGUCCUUCAACAAGGGAUAUAUUGCUUUAACAUAGUCUGAGAACAUCAAGGCUUCUCCAUAUCUCACUCUUCUAUAAAAGAAACAAUUGAAACCAAACUCACUUACAUGUCCAACUAAUAUCUUCAAUUAUGCAACUACUAAAAGAGAGAUACAAUUGUUUUAGUAUAAGAGAUGUCUAAAUAAGAUGAGAGAGAAGAAUGUACUAAGAAGCCAACUCUGCAACUUUUAUAAAGCGUUAUAAAUACGUAAUUCUUUGAUAGUACAAACCACAUUCUUCUUCAGAGUCUCUCUUGCCUCUUCAAAUAGCUCACCAACCUCGUAAAUUUUCAAAAUCUGAACAAAAGCCAGUCACAUAUUAUUUCUACGCAUCAGCAUUCACUUCCAAAAAUAAGAUUCAAAAAUAGUAUACUUUCGUAACUCAACAAACUCAUCAUUCAUCUUCACUGCUUCUGUAGAUAUUAUACACAAAACAAGACAUAAAAAAUAAACUCAUAAAGUAUAAAUAGAACGUUACACUACCAAAACACCAACGUUCCACCUCAUAUACUGCACAUACUAAAACAUUGCUAGUCAAACUACAAAUAGUAGCAUUGUAUUACCUUAAGGAAGUGAGAUACUUAGAUAUGCAUAUCACCACACAUAUUCUCCACAACAUCCUUUAAAUCCAAAAGCUGACAACACACAUUUGUAAUUCUCUACAACAUCACCAAAUCAACCAAGAAAAGAAGUAAUCAUAGAAUAAUUAUACUCUUAGGUUAGUACCUUCUCAUGAAUUAAAUAAUUAUAUAAAUCUGAAAACUAUGACAAUAAAUCAACCAAAUCAAUAAUUGUACUCUUACGUUAAGCUUUGUGUCUUUUGAUUGCUAACAGAUCAACAGUAAGAUUUGAAAGGAUCCAAUUUAUAAGAUCUUAUAAAUUUGAGAUCUGAAAACUUCACUUGAAAAACUUCGUCUUCUUUCUUAGAAACAUAUCGAUUUUGAUAAAUCAAGCUAAAAUUACAGAAAGAGGCAAAAAUCACCAUAUACUAUCAUCUUACCUUUGUUAGUGUUUCUUAGGCGUUGGGAGAGAGAUCGUCUCGUUCGUCUGAGCUUGCCGAGUCUGUCAGCUUUGCCGGAGAACUUCUCGGCAUGCGAUUCGUGACGAACGUGACCGAUUUAGCAUCGGAGGAUUACUACGACUACAUAAUGCCGGCAGAGGAACGGCGGGAUGUCCACUCGCCGCCACGCUCUCCCAAUCCGGUCGAGUUCGUCGGAGAUCGUCGAGUUCGCCGGAGAUCGCCAAGUUCGCCGAAGAUCGCCGAAUUCGCCGGAGAUCGCCGAGUUUGCCGGAGAUCUCGUUGGAGCUCGUCUCAAUUUGAUCUCAUUUUCAUCUCGUGACAGACAUUUGGAGAAGAAUAGAUCUAGGUUAAAUUAAUGAAAUGAGGGGUAUAAUGGUACUUUAGCCAUUAAAAUUUUAAUGGUAAAUUUGAAAAGUGUAAAGUUGAAAAGUGGUAUUAGGAAAGUGGUAUUAGUGGCAAUUCCCCAUUAUUUUUUUAAUUAUUUGUAUCAUGUCAUAACAAAAAUUUUAAAUCAUAGAUUACAAAAUUUGAAUGUGAAACUUUUAACAGUUUUAGUAAUUUAUACUCGUUUUUAAAAAUUCAAAAUAAAAUAUAUAAAUAUUUUUUUUAAUUUUUAUUAUAUGGUUACUAUGAUUGUUUAAUUUAUUUUAAUAGCUUAAAAUUAAACAAAUAUAAUUAUAAUACACACUUAUUUUUAUCAAAUCUUUAUUAUUCAAAAUCAUUAAUUGUCAUAUAUACUUUAGCCACAUUCGGCAAUUUCGUAAUCUUAUUUAAGGAAAUAAUGAAAACAUUAAUAAUAUAUUUAUUGUGGUUUAAUAAAAAGAUUAUUAUAUAUUUAGAUGGACCAACUUAUUUCUCUAAGGAUUCUAAGAAUCAUUCUAGUGAUGACACGUGGCUACAAAAAAAUGUUGCAAUGCUUCUCAAAUAAUAUAUAGGGGAUAUAAGGAAAUUUAAAAAUUUAGAAAAGGUAAUCAAUCAUUACGAUCAAAUCAUUCAGUUAUUAUUAGGGGUGGGCAAAAUAUCCAUAAUUUUGAUUUGAUUCGUUAUGUAUAUAUAUAUAUAUAUACAUAUACUUAAAGAAGUAUAUAUAUAUAUAUAUAUAUAUAUAUAAGCUGUAUCAAUUUUUUCUUUAUUUUUAAAAUUUUUAUUUUAUUUUUACGGAUCAAAUCAGAUAUCUCGUAAAAAUCUAAAAAAAUUUCGGAUAUCCGGAACAGCGAAUAUCUGGAAGGCUAUUCGUGCCCACCCCUAGUUAUAUUUGGCUGGAAGCAUAUUUGAACCCAUGCCUAGAGGAGCAAGAAAAAGUACAUAGCCAACAUACCAAAGAAACUUCACUGAACAUUAUGCCCAUAAUUUUUAAUAAAUCUUGGUGCUCCAAGCCUUUGUUUUAUGGGCUUUAGUCCAGGGCUAGGCCUAGCUUUACUCUCACCAAGCGCCAUGGCGAGGCAAGUCGAUCAGCCAUGUGUAACUCACAUGCAAAACCGUAAUUAUCCAUUUUCAACUUUUAAGUCAUGUUAAGCCAUAUAUAAAAACAGUAAACAGAAUCAUAAAACCAAUUCCAUUUUUGUUGGCUAUAACAAGAACUAGACUAGUCGAAGAUCACAUAAUUUUUGUAUGCUUCGGUUUGUUGAUAGAUUAUAUCAGACGGCACAGCUACUCUAUUAAACCAAGGCCGGUUGAGUAACCAAAAUUUGCACAAACCAUGCAGAUAAAUCAUCGAAGCCGCGCUUUGCGCGCCUUAAAGCAUCUCCAAAAAGAUUCUUUAUUUUAUAAUUUGCAAAACUCUAUAUUUAAAUUUUGGAAGUCCCGGAGCAAAUUUAUUAAACGAUUAGUGUUGUUGUAAUAUUUAAAUUUGUGUAAUAAUUAUUUCUUCAUGUAUCUUUUUAAAAAAAUUAUUAAGUUUUUUUUGGAAUAAUCUUGUUGUAUAGUUCUAGUUUUACAAUAUUAUAAAUCUUAUUUUAUUUUCUGUGUAAAAUCUGAAUUUAUAAAAACAAAUUUUAAAUAUCUAUGAUAUACAAAAGUUUUAAUGAUUAAGACGAUAAAUGAGAAAAUACUUAAAAAUCAUAAAUAUGAUAUGUAAUUAAUUAUAAAGACAAAAAUGCAAAUAAAAAGAUGAAACUUUAAAUUUGGAGUUUUUAGGAGUGAAACUUCAAAUAUGAAGUUUUAAUCCUUAAAAUUUCAAAUUUGAAGUUUUGAAGUUCUUUUUUGGUUUUGAAGUUCUUUUUUGGAGAACAAAAAACUUUGUAUUUGAAGUUAUAAAAUUUCUUUUGGAGAUACUCUUACGUGAUACUAGUUUAGCACUCAAUGGCGAGCACUUUCUGUACCUCGCCUGGCCUUGGGGUCUUGAGGCGAUGAGGACAUAGCUAGAUGUCUCCAAGCGCCAUAGCGGUCAAAUCGAUCACCAUUUAAAACCAAACUUAAAACACCUUAAAAUAUAUUUUUUUUUAUUAAAAGAACACAAAAAAAAAAUGACCAAAAUAAAUUUCAUUAAAAAGGUAAAAAAAAAAACUUUUACCUUUAUUUUAUAGAUAUUUAAAUAUACAUAUAAUUUUAUAAAUAAAAAAUAUUGUUAUUUUCAAAUAAUAUGUUUUUAAAUUUGAAUUUUUUUAUCUUUAUUUUGGAAUAUUAAAAAAAAAAUUGAAAUCCAAAAAUUCUUUUUAAAACUAUUUUAAAUUUUUAUUUUUUUAUUUUUUUAAAAAAAAUCCUAAAUCCCAUCUCUUCAAACCUUCACCUUUCAAAUCUAAACUAUAAUUUUAUAUUAGCUAACUAUAUAUUUCAAAAAAUAAAAUUGUAUCUAAAUAUAUUUACAUUUUUAAUGAAACAUUUUGGUCAUUUUGAUCUUUAUGAACUAUAUUUAUGAUAAAAACUUUUUAGGAUCGAUAGACAGUUCUGCAUAUACGUCAUACUCGAUGAAGAUGAACUCCGCAACCCACGUUCAUUAGCUCUGCUUUCAGCAUUCUGAAAUUUACAAUAGGCUUACAUCCAAUAAUCUACAAGAAAUUGAAAUCGAACCUUGGUGUAAAAGCCUAUGGUUCCGCAAAUUUAGUUUUCUUUAUUAACCAAGAUAGCUUUAACUAUGUGAAAUCUGAAUAUUAGGUUUUAACACAGAUUAUUAUCGUGAUGAGCUCAAUCUGUCUAUAGGGAUGUUUAGCACCAAGUUUACGUUGUAGUGAAUAUUCGGAACCAAGUUUACAUUGUAGGAUUCUCAAAUGUAAACUUGAAGGAAUAAUAGUUCAGUUUAUAGAAUUACUACUGAUUUAAAGCUUUUGAAAAUUGUUAAUCAAAUUUUAUUUAUGUAUAAAUAGGUCCAAAACUUAUUAAUUUGAGAAGAGUAUAUUUUGAAUGAUUUGAGUUUAUAAAAAAGAAUGAAAAAACAGAAUUGGACAGUUAACACUAUCCUGUUACAAGCCACACGAUCCUUUCUUCCUUCCUUAGACGAAGAACUCGCGAGUCACCACCAUGAACCCAACGCAGACGCUUUACCCCUCCGGCGGUAACUCGCCGUCACCUCAUUCAACGCACCCGUCAUCCCUCUUCCCUCAAAUCAACAGAUGCCGAACCAUGCGCGACCUCUCCCAAAUCCACGCCACAUUCGUCAAAUCCGGCCAAAUGCGAGACACUCUCGCCGCCGCGGAGCUCCUCCGCUUCUGCGCCACCACCUCCGAUCUCCUCCACCGCGACCUCGAUUACGCGCACAAGAUCUUCACCCAGAUGCCUCACCGCAACACCUUCUCCUGGAACACUAUUAUCCGAGGCUUCAGCGAGAGCGAAGAGCAAAACGCAAUCAUCGCGAUCGCACUCUUCCACGAGAUGAUGAAAGACUCGGUCGAACCGAACCGGUUUACCUUCCCGUCACUCCUCAAGGCCUGCGCGAAAACCGGGAGGAUCGAAGAAGGCAAGCAGAUCCACGCGCUGGCGUUGAAGCUAGGGCUUAGCGGCGACGAGUUCGUGAUGAGCAAUCUCGUGAGGAUGUAUGUGAUGUGCGGUUUGAUGAGAGACGCGUGCGUGUUGUUUUAUAAAAACAUUAUAGGGAGAGAUAUGGCUGUGAAUAUGAUGGUUGAUGGUGGUAGAAAGAGAGACGGUGAGGUUGUUAUAUGGAAUGUGAUGAUUGACGGUUACAUGAGGCUUGGUGAUUGUAAAGCUGCGCGGACGUUGUUCGAUCAAAUGCGUGUGAGAAGCGUUGUUUCUUGGAACACUAUGAUCUCUGGCUAUUGCAAGAACGGGUGCUUCAAGGAGGCUGUGGAGAUUUUCUGUGAGAUGAGGAGAGUUGAUUUGCGUCUUAGUUAUGUCACUUUGGUUAGUGUUUUGCCUGCGGUUUCUCGGAUAGGGUCGUUGGAGUUGGGAGAGUGGUUGCAUUCUUAUGCGGAGAGUAAUAGAGUGGAGGUUGAUGAUGUGCUUGGCUCUGCUUUGAUUGAUAUGUACUCCAAAUGCGGAGUUGUGGAGAGAGCGGUUGAGGUGUUUGAGAGGUUACCGAGGAAGAAUGUGAUUACUUGGAGUGCUAUGAUUAACGGGUUUGCUAUACACGGCCUAGCGGGUGAUGCUAUUGACUGUUUUUGUAGAAUGAGGGAGGCUGGAGUUAAGCCUAGCGAUGUUGCGUACAUCAAUCUCUUGACGGCUUGUAGCCAUGCUGGGUUGGUAGAAGAAGGGAGAAAGUAUUUUAGUCAGAUGGUGAAUGUGGAUGGUUUAGAUCCUAGGAUUGAACACUACGGGUGUAUGGUUGAUCUAUUGGGACGCUCGGGUCUUCUCGAAGAGGCUGAGCAGUUUAUACACAACAUGCCCGUGAAACCAGAUGACGUGAUAUGGAAAGCUCUUUUGGGUGCUUGCAGAAUGCACGGGAACGUGGAGAUGGGGAAACGUGUGGCUAAUAUUCUGAUGGAUAUGGUUCCUCAGGACAGUGGAGCUUAUGUGGCUCUCUCAAACAUGUACGCUUCUCAAGGAAACUGGUCGGAGGUUUCGGAGAUGAGGCUGAGGAUGAAGGAGAUGGAUAUAAGAAAAGACCCCGGGUGUAGCUGGAUCGAUGUUGAUGGUGUGCUUCAUGAGUUUCUUGUGGAAGAUGAUUCUCACCCGAGAGCCAAAGACAUUAACUCGAAGCUUGCGGAAAUCUCAGAGAAACUGAGACUGGCUGGGUAUAGACCCAUCACUACGCAGGUUUUGCUGAACUUGGAGGAAGAGGAUAAAGAAAACGCGCUUCAUUACCAUAGCGAGAAGAUCGCUGUUGCGUUUGGGUUGAUAAGCACAACACCUGGUAAACCAAUACGCAUUGUUAAGAACCUGCGUAUCUCCAAGUCAGAAUAUACAAAUCAACAAAGCACUCACAAGGGAAACAUUGAAGAAAAUAUGGUUACACAUACAAAAAGUAUUUCAAACUUAGCAUUACAGAGAGUGAGCAAUAGAUCACAACAACAACAAAAACAACGACUUCAUACAAUCAAGAGUGGGUACUUGAUUCUGAGUAAGUUCACCUGAAAACCGAAUAAUAAAAAGUUUAGAUGAGACUUUCACACUAAACUUCAAGGAGGAUAAAUAGCCAACAAAAAUGAACAAUAUGUACAAUAUACCAAAUAUAUAUAUAUAUACCUGAGACGUUUUAUUCUCCUUAUUCGUCGCUGGCACGCAACAAAAACGCCUUAUAUUCCAUCAGAAUAUCAUCAACAGUGCGUACUGAUUCACCUGAAAACCGAAUAAUAAAAAUGUUAGAUAUUUGAGACCAUGUACUACGAGUCUGCGACAUCUACGACUUUGAGCAAUGACAUUAGAACUGGAAGUAGAGGCUUUGAAGAAUUAAAGAAAGUUCUCCUUUUUUGGCUUCAUGUAAGCAUACUUCUCUCAUCAUGUCAUGCAUUUGACAAGAAUCCCAUCUCCAACUCAAACUAUCUUUUUCAGCAAUAACCAUAUUUCUCCUUAUUAACUCUUCCAAGUAUUCUUCUCCACUCUCUCGAAUGGUUGGUCCAUCGCAACUUGACGUUAUUAUUCCUUCUGCUGCCCAGAAAUAACACAAUUUAUUCACUUGUAUCUUGUAAUCUUCAGGUAAAUAAGCUAGGCAAAGGAAGCAAUGCUUUAACUCCAUUGACAAAUCUGAUACGUAGGAGGGGAUGAGGUGGCAUUCACGUGAGCAAUGCACGUGAGCACAUAACAUUUCACAUGGGAAGGAUGCUGAGCUGGCUGCUCUCCAACUUGCUGCUUACUCUUUCUAUUUAAGCUGUAGUUUGCUAGAGAGAAAGGUUAUCUAGAGUUUGAGUGAAUAAUCAGAGAGAGAUGUAGAGAGAUCUUCGAGAGAAGGAUUUGUAAUCGGUUUCUCUUGUAAAAUCACUAUUUCUCUCAAUACAAUCAGUAUUUCAUCUUUAGAUCAUUGUUUUCACAUCUACUCGUAACAAAAUCUUCAUAGCUCAGGGACAAAACUCGGCAAACUGAAUCUUUUUUGUUGUCAUCUAACUGAAUGAUCUGAGUUUGAAUAUUUUUUAUAUACUCGUUCCCACUCGUCAACCAUUUUUUUAGCUAACAAGCCUCCCAGCACUUUAACAGCUAACAGUAGUCCUCCACAAUAUGUAACCAUUUUCUUACCCAUAUCUUCUAGCUCUUUAUCAACACCAAAUUCUGCGAAACAAUAGCAUAUAUUAUAAGACAAUGGCCAUGAACAAUAUGUCUACCCUAGAAGAUAAAUUAGUGAAUUACUCCACAAGAUUUUUGAUUAUAGGAGGUAAGAGAUAUCACAUUCAGUGUCUUAAUUAACAAACGUACCAGUUUUGUCUCUUCUAGAUAAUGCUAUCCCCUCACAUAGCUUCCAAGUUCCAACUUUCCUCGGGAUUAAGGAUUUUUGGUGUAAAGGCAAAACAUGUUGGGUCUGCAUGUAAACCAACACCUUCAUCGCGAGAAGUAAGAAUCACUUUCCAACCUGCAAAUUAAAUUUUCUUUUAUGUCAGUUAGGGAUUAAAAGGCAUUUAUGAAACUGCUAACGGAAGCACUUAAGUAAUGUAUGAAAAAGUAAAGAGCUCGCCUCUUUCUUGGGGGAAAACGUCUUUUAUUAGAUCCCAGUCUUCAUUUUUCCAUACAUCAUCGAUGACAAUUAAAUGUCUAGAUUUUCCCAGCAAUAGAAAGAGCUCUGCCUGGAGUUUAUUCUCAUCCAUCUGUUUGAUGUUCUCAUCAUGUGGUCUAAGAUCUUGCAAGAUCUUUUGCCAGAUAUCCUUCCGCUGAAACUCUUUUGAAACACAUACCCAUGCGAAUCGAUUAAAACGAUGUCGAACAAUGUCAUGAUGAAAAACUUGUCUCGCCAGAGUGGUUUUACCAAUACCACCCAUCCCUGAUAUGGAAACCACUUGAAUGUUAUCUUUCUUCACCAAAUGACCAACCAAGUCUUCAACACUUUCUUCCACCCCCACAAGGCCCUUUUCAGAACUCUUCGGAAAUGUUUGUCGGAUCUCCCUCUGCACCCUUUGUCUCUCUUUUAGAGACAGUGAACGGCCAUCGCUCAUGAUUUCUUUUAUUCCAAAGCUCUGCAUGUCCGCAACAACCUCAGACAUUCUCUUAGUUAUGCCUUCAAUGUCUAUAGAAAUAUCUCGUCGGUUCCCUAAGAAACAAGAAAGUUUUCUCACACGCCUCUUGAUCCCUUUUUCUUUACCACUAGAUUCUUUCAAAACAAAGGAUUCAAUUAUAUCUUCAGCAUCAUAAACAAUGUUUUUGACAUCUUCCAAUAAGUUUCUCACAACUUCAUUCUCAUGUUUCUUGGCAUCUGCAUCUUUCAACAAUGACUGUAACUUUCGCAGGUGACGUUCUAGAUCAGUAACAUGCUCAUGCACUCCCUGUAAUCGCUCAGAUUCUCGACUCAGGAGGUCCCAGAGUUUCUCCAUUCCAAAGGACACAACUCCCUCAGCCAGCACUGACACAACUACCUCAGCCAUCACUGAUCUCCUGUCAGAGGAACUUUUUUUCUUAACUUAUUUUUAAUGAAAUAAUUUUAUUUUAUUUUUAAAUCUGAUUCGACCAUAACAGAGGGAAAAAAGACAGAUCGAAGCAAGUUAAGUCGAAAAAUAUGAUGUAGAAAACAUGAUUUACCUUUUACGAAACAGAUCUGCAACUCUGUUCUAUCUGAUUUACCUUUCAGCGACGUUCUUUGGAAGAAGAGAUAUGAGUUGCAAUGAAAGAGAAAGUCAACUUUUGCAGUCGCUUCUAUCUGUAAUAAUGCAUUUGCUUUAGACAACUGAGAAUAAUUUUAUUCAAAGACCACGAAGGCCACCAACCACAACUACAACAGUGUCUUUCACCAUCAUUCCAUCAAUAGCUCAAAACACAGAGUAAAAACCAGGGGAGUUACAAAAAUAGAGUGACAGUCCCCGAAUUAAAUCCUAACCUUCCUUCCUAGACAUAUGUUAGAGAAAACGGCUUUCAUUAACAAGGAACUAAAACAACCAAGGGGGAUGACCAGUGGCCACAUAGGAUUGGAUCCGCCCUUGCCUAGUAACACUUUGAGCAAUGAAAGAUGUUCCUCUAUUUGCCUCUUCCCCCCCCCCCCCCCCCCACAACCUGCAAUCCAAACUCAUUCAUCUCCAAUAACUCUCUUAAGAUCUCAUAGGCUUGAUAAGAAAAAGAUGGCCAGGCUUCCGGGCGGAGUACUGCUCCCAAACAGGUCAGAGAAUUCACCAGCAAAGAAUAAACCGGAAUGUCUACCAAUACUGACUACUAUUUCUAGUAAUAAUAUAAGUACAUAUGAUAAAAAUGUGGAGAGUACCUGGAGCUAUGUAACCAUAGGAACUAGCAAUGGUUUUGAAAGAACGAGCAAAGUCUCCACCGUCAACAAGCUUAGCAAGACCGAAAUCUCAAAUAUAGGGCCCAAAAUCAGGGCCAAUGAGAAUAUUAUUAGCCAUGAUGGGAGGAACACAGUCAUGAUGCAAGUAAGCCAAACCCUGAGCUGCACCAAGUAUAAUCCUGUGCCUAACCUCCCAUCCUAAGAUACAUUCAUCACUCCUAUCAUGAAGCAAGCUUCCCAAACUCCCAUUCGACAUAUAAUCAUACAUAAGAAGUCUCGUGUUCUUGUUCCAACAACAUCCCAAGAACCUUCUAGAAAUUAAGCUUCGAUAAUAUGAAUAUAAGAACACACACAAUAAGAACUCUUCUUAUUAAUCCCUUGAGGAAACUAACUCAAAACCUCAAGCUCACAAACUCAUAAACUCACACAUUGGAUCAUCUCAUGAUCUCUCUAUUUAUAUAUCUAUGUUUGUCCUAAUCCUAUUAGUAAUUACAUAUGUUUAGAUAACUCUAAACUAAAGAUAACCCUUAUCUUUAUUCUCCCACUUCUUUUAGGAUUAGGAUUGCUUCCUUCUCAAGCUAUCUUCAAGCUUACUUCAACAUUGUCCCUCCUAAGCUUGAAGCUUUCAGUCUAUAAGUCUUUCAUUCCGAUAAACUCUCUCAUCUCCUUGAACUUGAUUCUUCCCAAUGCUUUUGUCAAGAUAUCUGCCUUCUGCUUCUCUCCGGGAACGUGCUCGACUGCUAUCUGUCCGUUCUCAACGCACUCUCUUAUAAAAUGAUAUCUCUUAUGUAUAUGUUUGCUUCUUCCAUGGAACACCGGGUUUCUUGUUAACGCAAUUGCAGACUGGUUAUCAAUUAAAAUGGUGACUCUCUUGCUUGGUUGAUCCAUGAUCUCACUCAAUAAGUCUUGUAACCAAAUGGCCUGUCUCGCGGCCUCUGUUCCUGCCAUGAACUCGGCUUCGCAGGAUGAUAGAGCCACCGUGUCUUGCUUUUGUGAGCUCCACGUGAUUGGACUAUCUCCUAGAUAGAAUAUAUGGCCUGUCGUGCUUUUCCCAUCGUCUGGAUCAGACUCAUAGCUACUGUCGCUGUACCCUAUAAGCUUUGGAACCUUGAGAGAACUCCUCUCGAAUGUUAGGCCAUACGAGAUGCUUCCCCGUAGAUAUCUUAGCACCUGUUUCAUUGCGGCACCAUGUGAUUCUCUUGGACUCUGCAUGAAUCUUGAAAGAACUCCAACACUAUACGAUAAGUCAGGUCGUGUGUGAAGAAGAUAACGUAGGCAUCCUAUGUUUCUUCUGAACCUUGUCGCGUCAAUCUCUUUCUCGUUUUCAGCUUUUGACAACUUUAGACCAAGUUCCAUCGGAGUUUGGACAGAAUUGCAUUUGUCCAUUCCAUCUUCUUCUAAAAUCUUCGAUGCGUAGCUUCUUUGCACCAAUGAAAUCCCAUUCUCGUAUUGGCACACUUCUAUGCCAAGAUAAUAAGUAAGCUUGCCUAAAUCACUCAUGUCAAACUUGCUUGACAUAUUAUCUUUGAACUCCUUGAUCAUCUUUUGGUUAGUACCAGUCACAAACAGAUCAUCUACAUAAACUGCAACGAUUAAUAGCUCUCCUUCUUCUAUCUUGCGAUAUACCGAAGGCUCCUUAGAGCAUUUUUUAAACUUAAGUUCACAGAGUAUCUGGUUUAGUUUAUUGUUCCACGCCCGUGGAGCUUGCCUUAAUCCAUAUAGUGCUUUGUUCAGUUUAUACACUUUUCCUUCUUCUCCUUUUCUUUCAUAACCCUCAGGUUGCAUAACAUAAACAGUUUCCUUUAGUUCUCCAUGUAGGAAUGCUGUUUUAACAUCCAAGUGAUGCACCUCCCAUCCAUUCGUAGCUGCUAGAUUAACGAGAAGUCUUAUUGUUUCAAGACGUGCUACUGGUGCGAAUACCUCAUCAAAAUCAAUUCCGUGACGCUGCACAUAUCCUUUAGCCACUAGCCUUGAUUUGUACUUGUUAAUGCUUCCAUCUGCGUUGCGUUUGAUCUUGAACACCCACUUAAGACCAAUGGCUUUGGCACCGCACGGCAACUCAACUAAACUCCAUGUAUCAUUCUUUUCGAUGGAUAUGAUCUCUUCCUCACAUGCUCGUCUCCACUCCUUUGAUUCUUUAGCUUCAUUCCAAUUUCGUGGCUCAUGAUUCAGGUACAUCAAUAUCUCUUCACCAAGUUCUUCGGCAAGGAGAAUAUAAUCGUCAAGGUAUUUUGGUUUGUUGUGUUGCCUUUCCGAUCUUCUUAACACUUGUGUUUCUUCCUCUACUACUUCUUCUUGGUCAUCAGUGAUUACUAUACUCUCAGGUGCUGUUUCUUCUUCUUCGUUCGUAGCUUGUUUUAGACGUAACCGUUCCUCUCUCUCAAUGUGGUUAUCAACUCCGUGAUUACCAAACUCUCCUAUAGAUAUAGUGAAGUCUUCAAUGCUCUGGUUUUCCGUGGUGACCUCACUCCAAUUCCAUCCUCUUGACUCAUCAAAUACUACAUCUCUACUUACCACUAUCUUCUGAGUUUGUGGAUCUAGUAGGCGGUAAGCCUUUGAUCCUGGCUCUGUGCCUAAGUUUACUAACAUUCUUGCUCGAUCAUCUAAUUUCUUCAAGAGCUUUUUAUCUGCUUUUGCAUAAGCUAUGCAUCCGAACACGCGUAGAUGGCUAAUAUUUGGCUUCUUGUUACGGAACCCUUCAUACGGUGUCUUCUCUUUCAAGGCACGGGUGGCCACACGGUUUAGCAAAUAUGUUGAAUGUCGUAUAGCUUCUCCCCAAAGGUAGUUUGGCAUAUGCAUAUGUUUGAGAAUGCUUCUCGCCAUCUCUAACAAUGUUCUGUUUCUGCGUUCCACAACUCCGUUCUGUUGCGGUGUGUAUGGAGCCGUGAGGUGUCGUUUGAUGCCAAACCUUUCACAGAAGUCGUUGAACUCUCUGGAUACGAACUCUCCUCCUCUAUCCGUUCUGAAAACUCCUAUCUUCUUUCCUGUUUCUCUUUCUAUCACCUCCUUGAGCCUUUUAAAUUUGUUAAAUGCUUCACUCUUCUCUUUUAUCAACAUUGUCCACAUAUAUCUUGUGUUAUCAUCAAUAACCACAAAUAUAUAUCUAUUUCCCUUUGGAGUUCUCGGUGUUAUAGGCCCGCAUAGAUCGCCAUGAAGUAGCUCUAGUUUCUUUUCAGCUCGGUAUGUGGUUGAUUUAGGGAAGGGUUGCCUUGCUUGCUUGCCAAGUAAGCAUGAGCCGCACACUUCUUUUUCACCAUUUAUACUAGGAAGCCCGAGUACUAACUCCUUUUGUUUCAUCCCUUUUAAAGACUCAAAGUUUAUGUGCCCUAACCGAGCAUGCCAUCGCUUUGUUUCACUUGUCGUGGAUAGGUACAAGCGCGCAUUGCUUCUGAUUCCCAUAUGAACCUUGUACAGUCUAUUCUUUGAUCUUUUUGCUUUCACAAGCAAUUUCCCAUGUUGAUCAUGCAUCGUCAACUCUUCUCCUCUUAAUCUUAUGUCACAACCCGCUUCUGUGGCUUGACCCAAGCUUAUGAUAUUACUUUUCAAAUCAGGGAUGUAAUAAACAUCUAUCAUCUUCCUAUCUUCUCCAUUGCAAUCUGUAAAAGAAAUCGUUCCCUUGCCUUUUAUGUCUAUCCUUGAAUCGUCUCCAAAUCUAACCUUUCCCGUGAUGGUGUUGUCUAUUGCCGAAAAAUAUCUUCUAUCCCCAGUCAUAUGGUUGCUUGCUCCAUUAUCUAGAUACCAUAUGUUUUCUCCUUCACAACUUGUUUCGUAUUUUUCAGGUAAGACAUUCUUCUCGUUUAGGAACACUACCUCAUGCAUCAUGAGUUCAUCAGCUUCUUGGGUCUCUGUAUUGUCAGUUUCAUGAGCCUCUUGUAGUUUAAGAAGAAGCUCCGGACAUUGUGCGACAAAGUGGCCAACCUUGUCACAUCUAUAACAGGUUAUUUUGGAUGCGUCUCUCUCAUAUCCUCUUCCUCCAUUGUAGCUUUCAUUAUAUCCUCGUCCUCCAUUAUAUCGGCCACGUCCCCUUCCCCUGUUAUUGUAAGGACGUCUGCCGCCUCCUCUACCUCUUCCUCUAUAUGAAUCUCCUUGGUAGUAAUUUGAAUUGUCCGAUGAUCGAUUUGAUUGGUUGGUUUGGCCGCUUUGUCCUUCAUUAUUUGCAUACAUCAGUUUAGUUUGAUCUUCUUCUUCAUCUAAAACUCUUUCUUCGUAUGCCUUUAAACGUUCCAUGAUGUCUUCAAAGUUUGUUUUGUUAAGAUCCAACACCUGUUCGAGAGAAGCUACAAUGUGUAUAUAUUUCUUUCGAGGUAAACUUGAGAGAAAUUUUUUCACCAGCUUGGCUUCCUCGAUGAUAACUCCCAAUGCGGACGAUUUAGAGGCGAGUUCUGAUAAUUUUCCACCGAAAUCGUCUAUACUCUCGGUCUCUUUCAUCUUUAAUCUAUCAAACUCGUUCAUCAACGUUUGUAGUCUUGCUUCUUUUACUCGUUCUGCUCCCACAUAUCUUGCUUUAAUGGCUUCCCAAACUUGUUUAGCUUUAUCAAGUUCUCCUACUUGCAAGAUUAGCGACUCUGGUAUGGAUUGAAACAACAAUGCUAGUGCUAGGUCGUUUUUCUUAGCGCUCGCAGUCUCUGUCUCUAUUGCUUCCCAGACCUCAUGUACCUUCAAUGUGAUUCUCAUCCUCAUAACCCAUACUGUAUAAUUUGUCUGGUUAAGCAUAGGACACUUAAUCGAAGAGGACCCUCCUCCUUCUUUCACCUUGCCGGUUGCUUCCACAAUAUCUCCCAUGAUCUCUGUUUUGGCUCUGAUACCAAAUCUAGAAAUUAAGCUUCGAUAAUAUGAAUAUAAGAACACACACAAUAAGAACUCUUCUUAUUAAUCCCUUGAGGAAACUAACUCAAAACCUCAAGCUCACAAACUCAUAAACUCACACAUUGGAUCAUCUCAUGAUCUCUCUAUUUAUAUAUCUAUGUUUGUCCUAAUCCUAUUAGUAAUUACAUAUGUUUAGAUAACUCUAAACUAAAGAUAACCCUUAUCUUUAUUCUCCCACUUCUUUUAGGAUUAGGAUUGCUUCCUUCUCAAGCUAUCUUCAAGCUUACUUCAACAAACCUAACAAUGUUCUUGUGUCUGAUCGAACCAAGUGUCUUGACUUCAGCUGAGAAUGAGUCUCGACCUCCUGAUGUCUUAGCAACCGUUACUGUCACUGGCCAGAGCUUUUUCACUGCGAUGAUUUCUUGGUUAGGCAUUUCUGCUCUGUACACUACUCCAGAGCAACUUUUCCCUAUAACAUUACUUUCAACCAAACACUUUGAGUACAUGUUCAACCGUGAAGUUGAGUUUCUGAAAAGGUGUGAACUGCCAUGUCCACAGGUUUUCUCCCUUCUCUGAAUCGUUAUCAUCCUGAGUCAUCUGCCUUGCCCUUAAAACCGCUAACACGCCUAAUACCGCUAGAAUAAUUAUCAAACUUAUUAGCAAUCCAAUGGCUAUCUUGAGUCCCUGAGAGUGCACAAAAUCUUCACCGGGCUGUGUGUGUAACCGUGUACCACUACUAACAAAACAAGACCUGAAGCCUUUGGAACAGAGUCCAUUAUUCCCUUCCAUCUUUUCUUGUGUCAUCUGUCUGAACACUUAACUGUCUGAAGAAAACCUGAGAAUCUAUCGUGAGAGAUAUUCAAAGAAACCAAGUUUUUAAGACCGGACAGGGAAAAGAGGUGGCCUGAAAGCAUGUUGUACGAUAUAUCCAGCACAGAUAAUCGGUUAAGAGCUGAGAUCCUCGCCGGGAUGAAGCCAUCUAAUGAGUUCCGGCUCAAGUUUAAGGCAAUGUCUAGAUUUUCAAUGUCAAAGAGUUCUUCAGGUAUGGCUCCAAGAGAUGUUGUUACUGCUGAGAUCAAGAAGCUGAAGAUUCGUGCAUGACAAAGAGAUGUUGUUACUGCUGAGAUCAAGAAUGUGGUUUUGCAUAAUAGUUUGUGUCAAUACAGUCAGGAUUGUAAGAUGGUUUGUAUUUGAGACCUGAGCCGAGCGUUUAAGAUUUUUCCUCGUUUCAAGAGUAAAACUCCGUGUAUUACUACACUAAUGCCUAUCAAUUAGCCAAAAGAUAAAUAAUUUUUUGUGACUGAUGUUUAUACUAUCAAGUUAAUUGUAUAUUUUAGGUUAACUAGAUGUUUGGUGUCAAAGCUGUUGACUCCUCCAUCUCUUGAUCUUCGUUAAACCAAAUGAUAAAAUCAUGUUCAAUGAUCACUAUCAAAGCAUUGUCAUACAAAAAAGGGAGACAUUGAAGAAAAUAUGGUUCGACAUACAGAAUGUAUUUCAAACUUAGCAUUACAGCGAGUGAGCAUGGAAUAGAUAAACGGAAUAUCGCAGACAAGUAGUAAACAAAAACGACUUAUAUAUCCCAUCACACAAUGAAUAGUGGGUACUGAUUCUGAGUAGGUUCCCCUGAAAACCAAAUAAUAAAAAAGGUUAGAUAGUUGAGACUUUCACACUAAACUUCAGAGGAUACAUAACCAACAAAACGAACAAUAUGGAACAUUAUACCAAAAAUAUAAACCUGAGACGUUUUAUUCUCCUUAGUAGUAGCUAAGAUUGUUGAAUUGAACACUAGGAAUGUGUUGGACUUUGUAGUAACUUUCCCCACCUGAUUCCAAUUUCUCAUUCCACUCCUUGUUCAUACCUGAAAUUUCCAGUUCCUUUAAAGAGAUUAUAUACUUCAGCCCUUCCGGUAUCUCCUUCAACUUGCCACAAAAUCCUAUAGACAAAGUACGAAGACAUGACAUCGACCCUUCUUCGAUUUCCCACUCUUCCAACUCUUUUAGAACCACUAAAUCUAGCUUAUGUAAUUGAGGGAAUCCACCUUUUGAACACACCAUUUUCCUCCCUGCGAAAGCAUCAAAGCAUAAUAUAACAGACUUUAAAUGAAGCAACUUUUCCAGAAUCGGGAGUGGGUCCUCCUCCAUUCUGCAUUGACCUAGAGAUAUGCUUGCAAGGUUUGGAGGGAAUCGAGAGUGCUCAGGAAGCCUUGGCAUAUGCAUCCACAUAUCUAAAACCCUUAGAUGAAUGAAAUUCCAAAUGAAAUCCACUUCAUAAGUUACAUCGGAUUCGCUCCUCAACAAAAGCGUCUCCAGGUUUCUUAAUUCACGGAGAGAUGACGCUAGAAUUUUUUCAGAAGUGUACCUGCCUUCGAAAAUUACUUGGAGAGUCCUGAGCCUAGUCAUGCCGCGGAGGUCUGUGAUGCUACCACUUUUCAAUUGGAAACACCCCAAAAGCUCCAGGUUCACUAGCUUACCCAAUUCCAGCUUUGUUUUAUUUUUCAUAUAAAAGGGUAGGAACAGGAACCUCAACUCGACCAUCUCUUUAAAGAUAUUUGGCACGUAAACAGCCCCACUGGAGGAUAAUUCCAAAUAGAGUAGAAGCUUUAGAUUCCGUAGAGAAGAUGGUAGAUGAGAUCCCGAAGUCACGUUUAAGCUCAAAAAUCUCAAAUGAAUGAGAUUGCCAAUGCUGGAAGGUAUUCUCACUUUAAACUCAGCUCCACUAUCUGAUUCUGAACUCAGAUCUAGGACCCUAAGUAACUGUAAAUUUCGGAAUCCUUGAGCUGACUGCUUCCACAAGUUGCUGUCGAGUCCAAAACCCAAAACCGAUCUAGCUUUUUUAUUGCUUUUACGUCCCAGCAAAUUAAGUGCAUUGCCACCAUGAACUACGAGUCUGCGAGAUUCACGAGUAUGAGCAUUGACAGUUGAAGUGGAAGUAGGGGCUUUGAUGACUUGAAGAAAAUUCUCUUCUUUGGCCUUAGAUAAACAUACUUCUCUCAUCAUGUCAUGCAUUUGACAAUAUCCCUGACCCCAACUCAUAAUGCUUUUUUCUACGAUAACCAUAUUUCUCCUUAUUAACUCUUCCAUGUAUUCUUCUCCACUCUCUCGAAUGGUUGGUCCAUCGCAACUUGAUGUUAUUAUUCCUUCGGCUGCCCAUAAAAAAUACAGUUUAUUGACUGAUAUCUUGUAAUCUUCAGGGAAAUAAGCUAGGAAAAGAAAGCAAUGCUUUAAAUGCAUUGGCAAAUCUUCAUAGCUCAGAGACAAUACUCGGUAAACCGAAUCUUGUUUGUUGUCAUCUGAGCGAAUGAUCUGAGUUUGAAUAUUGUCAUAUACUCUUUUCCACGCUUCAACCGUAUAUUUCUUGUUAGCUAACAAGCCUCCCAGCACUUUAACAGCUAACGGUAGUCCUCCACAAUAUUUAACCAUUUUUUUACCCAUAGCUUCCAGUUCUUUAUCAACACUAAAUU